rnacentral:rRNA from 1 species
AUUGAACGCUGGCGGCAGGCCUAACACAUGCAAGUCGAGCGGAUGAAGGGAGCUUGCUCCUGGAUUCAGCGGCGGACGGGUGAGUAAUGCCUAGGAAUCUGCCUUGUCGUGGGGGAUAACGUCCGGAAACGGGCGCUAAUCCCGCAUACGUCCUGAUGGAGAAAGUGGGGGAUCUUCGGACCUCACGCUAUCAGCUGAGCCUAGGUCGGAUUAGCUAGUUGGUUGGGUAAAGGCCUACCAAGGCGACGAUCCGUAGCUGGUCUGAGAGGAUGAUCAGUCACACUGGAACUGAGACACGGUCCAGACUCCUACGGGAGGCAGCAGUGGGGAAUAUUGGACAAUGGGCGAAAGCCUGACCCAGCCAUGCCGCGUGUGUGAAGAAGGUCUUCGGAUUGUAAAGCACUUUAAGUUGGGAGGAAGGGAAGUAAGUUAAUCCCUUGCUGUUUUGACGUUACCAACAGAAUAAGCACCAGCUAACUUCGUG